rnacentral:rRNA from 1 species
GACGAACGCUGGCGGCGGGCUUAACACAUGCAAGUCGAACGGAAAGGCCCUGCGUUUGUGGGGUGCUCGAGUGGCGAACGGGUGAGUAACACGUGUGUAACCUGCUCUUGACUUUGGGGUAACUUCAGGAAACUGGGGCUAAUCCCGUAUAGGAGCUCCUGUUGCAUGGAGGGGGUUGGAACUUUUCGGCUGUUGGGGAUGGACGCGCGGCUUAUCAGUUUGCUGGUGGGGUAUUGGCUUACCAAGGCUGUGAAGGGUAGCCGGCUCGAGAGGGUGUCCGGCCACCUUGGUACUACGAUACGGCUCAGUCGCGUACGGUAGGCAGUAGUGGCGAAUAUUUCACAGUCAGCGGGCGUGGGAUGAAGAGACGCCGCGUUCGGGAUGACCGUCUUCGGGUUGUAAACCGCUUUCGGUUGUGACGCAGCGUGAGUGACGGUAACGGAUAAAUAAGCACCGGCUAACUACGUG